UUUAUUUACAGUCAAACUUGAUUUAUUAUUACAAUAGUCAAAACUUUCAACAACGGAUCUCUUGGUUCUCGCAUCGAUGAAGAACGCAGCGAAAUGCGAUACGUAAUAUGAAUUGCAGAUAUUCGUGAAUCAUCGAAUCUUUGAACGCACAUUG
rnacentral:rRNA from 1 species